rnacentral:rRNA from 1 species
UACGAAGGGGGCUAGCGUUGCUCGGAAUUACUGGGCGUAAAGCGCACGUAGGCGGCUUCUUAAGUCGGUGGUGAAAUCCUGGAGCUCAACUCCAGAACUGCCUUCGAUACUGGGAAGCUCGAGUCCGGGAGAGGUGAGUGGAACUGCGAGUGUAGAGGUGAAAUUCGUAGAUAUUGGGAAGAACACCGGUGGCGAAGGCGGCUCUCUGGACCGUAACUGACGCUGAGGCGCGAAAGCUAGGGGAGCAAACAGG